UACGGAGGGUGCAAGCGUUGCUCGGAAUCACUGGGCGUAAAGAGCGUGUAGGCGGUUUCGUAUGUCUGGCGUGAAAGCCCCGGGCUCACCCCGGGAAGUGCGCUGGAAACUGCGAAACUAGAGUCCCGGAGAGGAAGGUGGAAUUCCAGGUGUAGCGGUGAAAUGCGUAGAUAUCUGGAAGAACACCGGUGGCGAAGGCGGCCUUCUGGACGGUGACUGACGCUGAGACGCGAAAGCGUGGGGAGCAAACAGGAUUAGAUACCCCCGUAGUCC
rnacentral:rRNA from 1 species